AUUUAUUAGUUUUAUUCAGUAAUCUAUUUUUCUAUUGGUUGAAAUAUGAUUAGGUGUAUCGGUAAUUAUUAUAUAGGAAAUGUACAAAAUUAAUUGUUUCCUUAGUCCGUGUGCACAGACCCAAAAAGACACUUAAUAUGAAACAGAGGGAUAUGUUGGGUGAACUGGAGUUUUCAUCAUCUUCAUCUUCCGUUUUCUGAUGAAAAUCGAGGGCUGUCACUAUCUCCAUUAGUGAUAGAUCUUGCUCGAUCCUUUAUUCGGUUAUUGGCGUUAUUCCUCGUCGUAUUUGGCGUGUGUGUUUUCCCUUUAAUAGGGUGGGUGUAUGAAUCUGGUCUCCUCCGUCAUGAAGAUCAAACUACCCAUUUGGUUUAAAGGCCUUGACAGACGACGUGUCUUGACUUUGCCGAGAUCGUGUCCUUGUUAAACAUAGGCGAGUUUUGAGCAUCUUACAAACACAUCGUUUAUGAUAUUGCUAAAGUUUAAGCCAAAGCAAAAGCUUAUUAUUACCAAAAAAGGAGUGUUAAUCUUUAACGUCUAAUUUUACGAACUCAGUAGUAUUAUAUAGUCAAGCAAAUUAAUUUGGGUUAUUCACUAGUCAAUUAAAAAUCUAAGAUAUUGAAAUUCUAAUUUAAUAAUUUAUCUAUAAUAUAUAUGAGUGAAAUGAAAUAUGAUAAAAUCCUGGAAUAAUAUCUAUAAUUUAUCUAUAGUAUCUGCUCCACUAAAAUAAAAUGAUAAUAUCCUGCCAUCCUGGAAAUUGAGUGAUGCUAAUAUAAUAGAAUAAACUUUGCCUAAAACUACCAAAACUUCAAGACCCAUAAGUGAAAUCUAAGUCUUCGAUGGCUUCUACUCUAACACAAACCACACAAACCAUAAAUAGUUUCCACCUCUUCAUUCUAUAUAAGCAUACGAAUGAGUCAUACUGAUCAUCAUUCAUUAGUAAAUUAAGAUACAAUACUAAGAUGGCAUCUUCUAAAGUAUCUUCCAUGCUUCUCUUUCUCCUCCUUCUCGUUCUUGUGUUUCCCCAUAUGGAUAAAGCCCUUGGUGAAGAAAGACAGCUCCACGAACUUAAAGGCACAGAGCAUCCCGAUCAACUGAUGACGGUUGGAAGGAGCCUUCUCUUUCGCAUCCCUCCAUGCCCACCGUCCUUAUGUAAGCCUCGUCCGAUAAGAAUUCCUCCCCGACUUCGUACACCUCCACCCCCUCCACGGCAUUGAAGGUUUCCAAAAGGCAAAAACACAUGGAUCCCAAAAUAUUUGGAUGAAAAUAUAUUUUCGUAAUUCCUCACUAUAAAUGUAAUUCUGAAAUUUUCUUUCAAAAUAAAGAGAUCAUGCCACUCGGGAUGAUGGUAUGAUGAUAUGUUGUUGUAAGUUUUAAGCUAUUGUAUGAUGAUAUAUUUGUUGAUA